rnacentral:rRNA from 1 species
UAUGUGGUUAAUUCGAUGCAACGCGAAGAACCGUUACCUGGUCUUGACAUCCCGGAGACCCUUAGGAAACUAGGGGUGCUUCCAUCUGGAAGAAUCUGGAGACAGGUGCUGCAUGGCUGUCGUCAGCUCGUGUCGUGAGAUGUUGGGUUAAGUCCCGCAACGAGCGCAACCCUUGCCUUUAGUUGCCAGCAGUUCGGCUGGGCACUCUAAAGGGACUGCCGGUGUUAAACCGGAGGAAGGUGGGGAUGACGUCAAGUCCUCAUGGCCUUUAUGACCAGGGCUACACACGUACUACAAUGGCCGAUACAAAGGGCAGCGACACUGCGAGGUGAAGCCAAUCCCGUAAAAUCGGUCUCAGUCCGGAUUGGAGUCUGCAACUCGACUCCAUGAAGUUGGAAUCGCUAGUAAUCGUGGAUCAGCAUGCCACGGUGAAUACGUUCCCGGGCCUU